rnacentral:rRNA from 1 species
UCAUCUCUUCUUUCACUCGGAGAGACGUGAUGUGCAGCAUCUAUAUUCAUCUCUACCAGGUUGCCAGGGUGUAGCACAAGAACCAUUCCCCCAGCACAGUUCUUCAGCAAUACUUAUACUGUAAGGCAAUUGGCAGGGGACGACCUCAGGCAGAUUAUUAUCUGUGAUGAUAGGGAAGAGGGCGAAAAAGUUUUACCCUUCUGGUUUUCAAACUAACCCCAACAAAGUGGGGAGGGGUUCGAUUACUCAGAGAACAAAUGUCUUCUGUCGGAAUGGAAAAAACAGGUCGUGGACAAUUGGGGGAGCUCCCAGGACAUGAACCACACCUUUACGUUCGUUGCCCAAAUGGAAGAAGCCCCCCCCCAGGAAUUUUCACUGAAAAAAAAGGGCGGGGUGGGGAAGACCUCAAAUCAAAAUACCCCUUUUGACUUGGGCUGCACACUUCUUACAGUGGAUAGGCCGACGUCAAGCGAAGCCGAGAGGCGGGGUGAAUCCAUAAAAAUGAGUGUCAGCCGGCGGCGCAUAAUGCAACUCGCCUGGAAGAAGUCGAAAUUGUUUUUAAUUCUACAUCAAGGUGCCCAAAUGGGGGCAUUAAACGGGUUUUUUAACCCCCCUAAAAGGGAUAAAAAAAAAGAAAAAAAAAUAAAAUAGGCCCUUCUCUCUCAGGAGGCCCCCCC